AGGCAUUCCUUUUCUUGAACAUAACAUGUCAAUAACCUUAAACGAAAAAAAAACUUUUGAUAUAACAUGCAGGCUUCGUUUAUAUAAUUUGACAGUACUAUUCAUACAAAAGCACAUCUGAUUAGGACCUGCCUCUCAAAAAAAAUAUGAUUAGGACUUAAAAGUGGUCUUCAGCCACCUGGUCAACUGAUCUGUGAGGAACCAAAGGUAAUUCAUUAUUCAGAAAGAGCUUGUAAAGGGACACCAAUCUUCAUAUGCACCAACCAACAAGCACAGCAAAAGACAAAAGCAAGCGCAAAGGAAAAUCAAUCACUCUUCUUACGCCAUACUUCAGUCACCUCAUGUGAAAAUAGCAACAAACAAAAACUUUUUAAUUUGGCUUUGGCUCACUGCUGUACCCCUAAGAGAGCGGCUGCAUCCUUAGCAGCCAACUUUGGACGCUAAGAUAAGACACAUCAGUUUUCUAUCUCCAAUUACAUUUUAAGCUUCAUUUGUCAUAUCUCUUAGCACCACCUGUAGGUGUUAAGAACCUAAAAAAACCAUUUACACUAAAAAGGAUAUACAUAAACUGAUUUAAAAUAACUUUUAGCUCUGUACUAAAUGCUAAGCUUAGCGCCUACCCUCAUAUCCCUUGGCACUGAUGCUGACCAAUGUCUCACCUUUAGCAUCUGCUCC
rnacentral:lncRNA from 1 species